rnacentral:rRNA from 1 species
CUGGCUCAGGACGAACGCUGGCGGCAUGCCUAAUACAUGCAAGUCGAGCGGAGUUGUUUUGGAAGCUUGCUUCCAAAACAACUUAGCGGCGGACGGGUGAGUAACACGUAGGUAACCUGCCUGUAAGAUUGGGAUAACUACCGGAAACGGUAGCUAAUACCGAAUAAUUUGUUUCUUCUCAUGAAGAGACAAUGAAAGGCGGAGUAAUCUGCCACUUACAGAUGGGCCUGCGGCGCAUUAGCUAGUUGGUGAGGUAACGGCUCACCAAGGCGACGAUGCGUAGCCGACCUGAGAGGGUGAACGGCCACACUGGGACUGAGACACGGCCCAGACUCCUACGGGAGGCAGCAGUAGGGAAUCUUCCGCAAUGGACGAAAGUCUGACGGAGCAAUGCCGCGUGAGUGAUGAAGGUUUUCGGAUCGUAAAGCUCUGUUGCCAGGGAAGAACACUUGGGAGAGUAACUGCUCUCAAGGUGACGGUACCUGAGAAGAAAGCCCCGG